rnacentral:rRNA from 1 species
GCGGCGUGCCUAAUACAUGCAAGUCGAGCGGACUUGAUGGAGAGCUUGCUCUCCUGAUAGUUAGCGGCGGACGGGUGAGUAACACGUAGGCAACCUGCCUGCAAGACCGGGAUAACCCACGGAAACGUGAGCUAAUACCGGAUAUCUCAUUUCCUCUCCUGAGGGAAUGAUGAAAGACGGAGCAAUCUGUCACUUGCGGAUGGGCCUGCGGCGCAUUAGCUAGUUGGUGAGGUAACGGCUCACCAAGGCGACGAUGCGUAGCCGACCUGAGAGGGUGAACGGCCACACUGGGACUGAGACACGGCCCAGACUCCUACGGGAGGCAGCAGUAGGGAAUCUUCCGCAAUGGGCGAAAGCCUGACGGAGCAACGCCGCGUGAGUGAUGAAGGUUUUCGGAUCGUAAAGCUCUGUUGCCAGGGAAGAACGUCCGGUAGAGUAACUGCUAUCGGAGUGACGGUACCUGAGAAGAAAGCCCCGGCUAACUACGUG